rnacentral:rRNA from 1 species
UACAGAGGUCCCAAGCGUUGUUCGGAUUCAUUGGGCGUAAAGGGUGCGUAGGCGGCGCGGUAAGUCGGGUGUGAAAUCUCGGGGCUUAACUCCGAAACUGCAUUCGAUACUGCCGUGCUUGAGGACUGGAGAGGAGACUGGAAUUUACGGUGUAGCGGUGAAAUGCGUAGAUAUCGUAAGGAAGACCAGUGGCGAAGGCGAGUCCCUGGACAACUCCUGACGCUGAGGCACGAAAGCUAGGGGAGCAAACAGG